rnacentral:SRP_RNA from 1 species
CGCUGACAUCGUUGAUGGGCGCGCAGAUUGCGCCAGUGCUUGCGUUGACAUCGGUGAUGCGCACGCCAUGACAGGAGAUGAGCAAUGCAGUGCUGUCGACUCCACAUGUGUUUGCGUGGCGCCGGAAGACAAC